GAUGAACGCUGGCGGCGUGCUUAACACAUGCAAGUCGAACGGAAAGGCCCAAGCUUGCUUGGGUACUCGAGUGGCGAACGGGUGAGUAACACGUGGGUGAUCUGCCCUGCACUUCGGGAUAAGCCUGGGAAACUGGGUCUAAUACCGGAUAGGACCACUUCUUGGAUGUUGUGGUGGAAAGUUUUUUCGGUGUGGGAUGAGCUCGCGGCCUAUCAGCUUGUUGGUGGGGUAAUGGCCUACCAAGGCGUCGACGGGUAGCCGGCCUGAGAGGGUGUACGGCCACAUUGGGACUGAGAUACGGCCCAGACUCCUACGGGAGGCAGCAGUGGGGAAGAUUGCACAAGGGGCGCAAGCCGGAUGCAGCGACGCCGCGUGGGGGAUGACGGCCUUCGGGUUGUAAACUCCGUUCGCUAGGGACGAAGCGUUUUGUGACGGUACCUGGAGAAGAAGCACCGGCUAACUACGUG
rnacentral:rRNA from 1 species